rnacentral:rRNA from 1 species
CAAUAGCGUAUAUUAAAGUUGUUGCGGUUAAAAAGCUCGUAGUUGGAUUUCUGCUGAGGACGAUCGGUCCGCCCUCUGGGUGAGUAUCUGGCUCGGCCUUGGCAUCUUCUUGGAGAACGUUACUGCACUUGACUGUGUGGUGCGGUAUCCAGGACUUUUACUUUGAGGAAAUUAUAGUGUUUCAAGCAGGCGCACGCCUUGAAUACAUUAGCAUGGAAUAAUAAGAUAGGACCUUGGUUCUAUUUUGUUGGUUUCUAGAGCUGAGGUAAUGAUUAAUAGGGAUAGUUGGGGGCAUUCGUAUUUAACUGCCAGAGGUGAAAUUCUUGGAUUUGUUAAAGACGGACUACUGCGAAAGCAUUUGCCAAGGAUGUUUUCAUUGA